CCGGGCCGGCUCACCCCGUACUGGGCUCACGGCAGGGCCAGGCUUUGCUCGGGGCACCGGCACUGUUGGCCUUUGGCUGUGCCCACAUUCUGGAACCAGGAGCUCUGACCACACACACAGCCUCUCCGGGGGCAGCGACCCUGCAGGGUCGGGAAUUCCCCCAAGCAGCCCUGAUUUCCAAAUUUUCCUUGCUGUGGUCAAGCUGAUCCAGAAAACACGGGAGCGUGAGCUUCCAGCCCCUGGAGGCGUGAUGGGGCAAAGACUUCGAGGAGCAAAUUGGAAGAUUUUUGAAACCAUAUUCCAAAAAGAUGCCUGAAAUGCUGAUUCUGUCCUGCUACGGGCUGAAUUUUGUCCCCCCUACCCCCGCAGGAUUCAUAUGGUGAAGCUCUAACCCCCAUGGGGCUGCAUUUGGAAUAAGAGAAUAAUUAAGGUUAAACGAGGUUCAGGGUGGAGCCCUGCUUAUCUCCUUGUAAAGGAGACACCAGAGAAUUUACUCUUUCUCAGCCCCAGGAGGACACAAUGAAAAGGUGACAAGCCAGGAAGAAGACCCUCACCAGCAACUUAACCUUGAUCUAGGAUUUCAGAGACUCCAGGACUGUGAGAAAUAAAUGUGUGUUGUCUAAGCCCUCCAGUCUGUGCUAGUUUGUUAUGGCAGCCCAAGCCGACUCUGCCCCUCUUAAAAUGCAGGGCUCCCUUGUGAUGAGCACUGGGUGUUGUAUGUAAGGGAUGAAUCACGGAAUUCUACUCCAGAAACCAAUGUUGCACUGUAUGUUAGCUAACAAGACUUAAAUUCAACAUUUUUUUAAAUAAAUAAAAUAGAGUGCACCUGGGUGGCUCAGUGGUUGGGCAUCUGCCUUCGGCUCAGGGCGUGAUCCCAGGGUCUGGGGAUCAAGUCUCUCAUCAGGAUCUCCAUAGGGAGCCUGCUUCUCCCUCUGCCUAUGACUCUGCCUCUCUCUGUGUGUGUCUCUUAUGGAUAAAUAAAUAAAAUCUUUUAAUUAAUUAAUUAAUUAAUUAAUAAUAUGCAGUGCCCCUUUUGCUGACGGUGACACUCCUUCCCUAAUUUCUCAGCAUGCACUUGAUGUUUACCUUGUGGCUCUCCUUCCCGGUGAGUUAGCCUUCAAGGUGAAGUUCCCAGGAUACCACGUUUCUGUGUACAGCCAGUCUCAACACCCACUUUUCUCUGCUUUUUUAAAAUUAUUUCUCUGCUUGGAGGACACAGGUUUGGCGAUGACUGCUGGGUCCAGCAGGUAUGUCCGGAGUCAGAAAAAG
rnacentral:lncRNA from 1 species